UCCUACGGGAGGCAGCAGUGGGGAAUAUUGCACAAUGGGCGAAAGCCUGAUGCAGCGACGCCGCGUGAGGGAUGACGGCCUUCGGGUUGUGAACCUACUUCCAGCAGGGAAGAAGCGAAAGUGACGGUACCUGCAGAAGAAGCGCCGGCUAACUACGUGCCAGCAGCCGCGGUAAUACGUAGGGUGCAAGCGUUGUCCGGAAUUAUUGGGCGUAAAGAGCUCGUAGGCGGCUUGUCACGUCGGUUGUGAAAGCCCAGGGCUUAACCCCGGGUCUGCAGUCGAUACGAGCAGGCUAGAGUUCGGUAGGGGAGAUCGGAAUUCCUGGUGUAGCGGUGGAAUGCGCAGA
rnacentral:rRNA from 1 species